rnacentral:lncRNA from 1 species
CUCGUCCGUAUUGCCGCCGGGUCCGCAGCCCCGCAGUACUACAGCCAGGCCGCUCUCCCCCCACCCGCGUUCGUGGCCUUCGAGAGCCCGACUGCACCAUCUCUGCCUGGUCCUGAAGGAGCAGCUGCCACCAGCACCUUCUCAGGGGCUGGGCCAAGCCGAACCGCGCAGCCGACACCCACAGUGCUGCAGGCCCUGGCCAGCUGCAGUUGGAGGCACAGUGCCAUCUAGCGGAUAAAAGAAAAAAGGCUCCAUCGCUUUUUUUUUUAAGUUACUGGAGAACCAUAGACCAAAGAAUCAGCUGUCUUUAUUUGCUACCAAAGGAGCUUGAUAACCAGAGAAGGAAAUGGAUUUCCUGAAUGUCACACAGCCAGCUGGUGGCCGCAUUGAUACUACAGAGCCUCAUCAUUUGAGCCUUGGUCCAGCAUUCUCCGCACUAUACCACAGUAAAGAAACCAGAGGAUAAAAGAGCUUCUAGUUUUGGCUGAGUGGCAUUUCAGACCUCUGCUGAGGUGGAGGUGAACACAAGCGGGGGCCAGCGUCUGAAGAGAUGGUGUCAGUUAUUCACUAUCGAAUGCCUUGGCUGGACUCUCUCAGUCAUGGGUGCAAGGCCAGAGCAAAUUCAGUUGUCCACCCUGCUCUCCCUCCCAGCAAAUCUGCCAUGAAACUCAGCACAAGAUAAGACCAGAUGUUGACUGGAAACAUAUGGCGAUGCUUUGGGAUCAAUCCUGUUUCUCAUGGAUAUCCUAAAACAGCAAAAGGCUUUCUUGGCUGUGUUCCCUUCCUUCAGAGGCUGGCCUUCCUUGACUCCCGGACCAUCAUUCCGGCAGGCAAGAUGAGCCCAUCCUGCCUUACACUGAAGGUCACUGGCAGAGUCCUGAGCUGUAAAUGUGAGCAUGAAGGGUGUGCUCUUAACUGUUAAACUCACUCCUUUCAUUUAAUUUCUUUAAAGCUAAUUAGAGCAAGGGAAACUUUUAAUGCCAUUUGUUUUUCUAACCCAGGGAAUCUGACUCAGGGACUUCUGUGGCCUGGAAUGUCCUGAACCGGCCAAGAUUUGACAGAGCCUUCGGUGCCCAGGGCACUGUCUGAGUCACAGAGCAGCAUCGCACAGCCUAGUUCACCCCGGGCAAAAACGUUCCAAGUUCUCUGGAUGAACAGCCUACAGAUGCCCAGCACUGAAGGCCUGGGUCUGGCAGCCCCCAAACAGAAAGCCCACCCCAAGGGAGGUCCUGCUUCGACACCUCUCCACCGUCACUGUCCUGCCCUCCAAAAUUCACUCUCCUCCAAAGCACUUGGUUAAAACUGGGCUUUGUCGCGCUGUCAGGAGUCUGUUGAGCUGUAGAAGCACAGACAGUCCCACUUUUCAGCUCAGCACAUCCCUGGAAAAGGGGCUCUAAAGAGGACCUUCAGGAUGUCGAUCAUAUUUUCUUAUAGGAACGCUCUUCUAAUUGGGGUGCGUUUCUAACCAGAGUCGUGGCUUCAAAUGAAUCACCGUGAUUUCCAGCAGCAUGUCAUCAAAGCCAAUAUGUCCCCAAACCUCUGUAAUCAUCUAUCAGAAGAAAAUCUCUGACAAGCCUUUUUCUCUUGAUGCUGGCAGAGCCCUCAGCUCAUUACUCAGUGUUCCUGAGCUGAGCUCUCCCUCCCCGCCGCACGGGCUGGAGCCCUUUCUUUCCUCUCCUGCCCUUGAUCUUGAGGCUGUUAGCCCCCUCGUUGUUCCGCACUAGCUGGCUCUUCUCCUUUCUUCACUGAAUUCCUUUAGCUAAAAGACCUUUGAACAAUUUACGAUUUCAGUGCUCUCCUUUCCCGCCAACCCCCACAUUUGGCAUAACCCACGCUGUGACGAGCAGCACCCCAGAUCAUCAUGACCCCGUCCCUCCCCGCAUUACUGAGCCUGGACUGUGAUUAGCAUAUAAAGAAAAUCCCUGUGCAGUGCUCUUACAGGUUGGAGCCCUCCAACAGUCUGAAUAUACCCCAAUUCGCUCCGCCUUAAGGGGACAGGGUAGCUAAAAAGGGCAUUCAUUCAUUCCAAAGGUAUUUAUUGAUUUCUAUGUGCCAAGUACUUUCCAAGUCACUUGGGAUAUAGCUGUGAAUAAAACAGAUAAAAAUCCACUUGGGGCUCGAGUGAGGAUGUAAUGAGCAGGAAGAUAAUUGGCUUGGAAGUCUGAGGAGCUAGUCUAGAUGCUUCCACUAACCGGCUAAGUCACUUCUGCCUCUCUGAUCCAGUCUCCUCAUCUGGAGAAUGAAAAGAUUGGACUUGGUCCCAGACAAGGACUCACCCCUGUGACCAUCUAAGGGCUCUUUGGUUUGUGACCUUUCUUAUACUCUAGAAUCUUCGGCUUCCCAGCCAAGCGAGUAGAGCUCCCUGCGUCUCCUUAAGUGGGGCAUUCACGCCGACUCCACUCUCGACCCUCGCAAUUCUUUUCUGCUUUGACCGUUCUUUGGUCCUAAGAAAGAGAGAAGAGAGAGCCCUCUCCAUCAGGUUCGCCUGCCUGCCUUUCCCUCUUGUUCCCCCCGCAUCCUCCCCUCUCCACUCCCAUGUGGUCACAAACAUUUGUCAAGAACAAAUGACCUCUUCUUCAAAGACGGUUGUUGUGGGCGGGAUGCCUCUUUGGGGUCACUGUGAUGCCUUUGGGGGCAUCUGUUUUCCUGGGCAUGCUCGAGGAAGCCAGCGAACAGAUCACAGGGAGGAUGCGGUACAGUUGGUGCAACAGAACCACUGGAAACCAAUUAACAGACUGAAAACCAGAGAAAGGACGGCGGCCAAAGAACAGGCACCCCGUGGUAAACAAUUACCAGUGUGGGCAGGGACAGCGAUGUAGGUCAGCUCGCAGCCAGGAAAUAGUUUUACAAGUGCGAAAUGUGAAUCCCUUCUGGAAGCAGAAUCUGGGUAGAGGUUUUCUUUCUAUAUUUGGGCAGAUGACCACCUGGUUGUCCUGCAACUCCCCUCGGUUUCUGAGCAGCUGGUCUUGGCUACCACCUCCCUCCAAAAGAAAACGGCUCAGGGGCCUUCUAACCUUGACCUUGACCUUGAUGGUCACGAGAGAGGGAUGGGAGGCUAGAUCCUGCUUUAUAAGCUAGGUCCCCACAGGGUGCCUGUAUUGUACUCUCACCUUCUGAGGACGCUGGAUGCUUUCCGUCACAGCUGUGGUACAUUCUUUGUUUUUGAGAGCAGACCUUUCAGCACCUACGGCGCUUGGAAAGAUUUACCAGUUUCAGAUGAAUAUCCGGGGAACCCUGAAAUUAAGAUCAACACCCAAGCUUUAAGGACGAUUCUGGCAGGGGUUUGGUCAAGGGGAAACAGGAGACUUGGGGGUUCAGAUCCAGCUCGGUGUGCGAUCGAGUCCUAGGAGCACUCGGGUGCUCACGCCCAGAGGCUCAGGUCGGGAAGAGCCACUGAGACCUUUGACCUCCGAACUGGAGCCCCAGCUUUUACGGUGGACGAAGUGCUUCCACAUUCAUUCUGUCUUGGUUCCUCAGAACAGACUGGAAAGUGGGCAGGGCAGGUGUUAACAGCUCCACUUCGUAGAGAAGGAAACUGAGGCCAGAGAAGACUCCGGACAUGCAUUUGCUGAGCUGUACGUGACAGUGAAGACUGGAGGGAGGUCUCCCAGGGCCGAGGUGGGCGUCUUUCUACCACCUCGCAGUGUGUUGGGGGGUCUUCUGAGCGGCCUGGGUCAGACAAGGCAGUUGUGCUGGUGAAAGCGUAUUUCUGGUAUCUCUCGUUAACCUUAUCCUAGGAAAUACUUUAGGUUUCCUAGGAACUCAUGGGAGGCUGAUCCUGACCUAUGGCUGCGUAGAGGCACCCAGCCCACUAGAACCCACUGUCCCUGAGGCCAGAGCCACAGAACCCUGAUGGGCAUUUCUCUAGGUGGUUCUUGACUCUGCUUCCACAAGACCAGAGAGGAAACUACACCCUCUAAAUCCCCACGGCUCCCCAGGGAAACAACAAUUGUGUUUACCAAGGACUUCAGGAGCUCCACUCUCUGGUCCCCAGGCUGGUGCAGCUUUGCCCCGAGGCUGCUUUCCUUCCCGACCACCCUUGGCCUCUGGUUUAUGUGGACGUGUUGACCAGACCCUGAGACCCUCUCCUUCUCAGGCACUGCGUAGGGCAGCUUUUUGGGCAUACUACCCUCGUGAUGGUUGAACUUUCUGCUGGUCUUUUCAUAGAAGAACAAAGAACUGUCGUCCUCAACUUAGCGACAUAAACCUCCACCCAUGACAAACACCUGUUCCCAGCUAGUCAUGGAGCAUUUCUUAAAAUGGUGGCUGGCCACUCUUGUUAACAGUGGGCUGGGGCUGGAGCUGACCCAGGAUGUCUGUGGGUGGUACUUGAUGUGGAUCAAGACUGCCCCAGGGAGAGAAGCCCAAGGCGUCCUGGCCUACAUGCCAUCUAUCAUCCUCCGGGAAGUAUAGGACGUCCUGGCCUGAUGCGACCUGAUUCGUAUCCCAAGUUAUACGACCACCAGAUAACCAGACCCCACCUGCACCGAUACCAUUUUAAUGACUUUUUUACAUGAUUCUUCCUUUGUCUUGUAAAUAAAUAACUCAUACCUGUGCCUUACAAAUUUAGCCCUACCCUCAACCCAUUGCACUGCCCAUGGGUCCUGUCCCCAUGCUGCAGCCCUUCACUGCCCAUGGGUCCUGUCCCCAUGCCUACAGCUCUUCACUGCCCAUGGGUCCUGUCCCCAUGCUAUUC